rnacentral:lncRNA from 1 species
GCCGUUGGCCGGGACCCGCCCCGUUUGUCCCCGUCGGCGUGCACCCAACCUUGGCUAGGGGAAGAAGAAGCCCCUGACCAAGGGGGCCCGCCCGUCAGUCGUAGGUGGGGGGUGCCGGGUAGGAAAAAAAGAAAGAGAGGGACCGGCCCAAGUAGCCCACGAGUUGGUGAGGGUGGGUAGGAGAGGCCCGGUAGAAAAAGUUUUCAAGGGUUUUUCGGAUAAAGUUUGUUUUCUAGUUUUAAAAAUCGAUUUAAAUAACAGCCAAACUAUUUAAUUCACUGUAAAUUGUAUAGGUACCCAAAAAUAGUGAAAUAAAUUUCUUUAGGUUUGUUUUAAUCUCCUUUACACAUUAAAAUUGUUAAAACUUAUUUGCUUAUAUAAACAUUUUUGGUAUUUAUUUAAGUGCCUUUAAUUAAGG